GAGUUAAAAUGAAAAUUGUAAUGGAGGAGAUAACAAUUUGUAAUUCCAAAAAAAUUUCGACUCUACCAAAAAUCAAGAUUUCAUCCCACCCGAAUCGAUCGAAAGCUUCUCCCUCUUUCAACCGUUUUGGAUUUUGGAAGAGAGAGAAGAAGAGGAAGAAGAUUAAAGAUGACCGUUCGAUGGAUUGUGAUCUACAGUUUCCAGUUUCACUCUUCAAAGACUCCAUUUCCAUUUCCAUUUCCCUUCAAGUUUUUCUAGUUUUUCGAGCCGAAAUCUCCCACUUUAAGCUUUCCUCGUCCCUUUUCCAUCGCCGUCUUCACUUUGAUUCCUUCUAAUCAGCAGCGCCAGGAUGGAUUUUGCGCGAUGUACUGAUGAAUCUAAGGAAUCGGAUCAGUCGCCGAGCAAAUGUUGCAGUAAAGACGAAGCUCAGCCGGAGAUUGUUGAGCUACGAGCUCCGAUUGAGCCUUCAACGCCUGAUGCCGAUAGAGAGAGUAGCGAUUUUCCUUCUGAUUCGAAAUCCCCACUCACUCAGGUUGUGACUAGCAGAGCUCUUGUAUUGAGCUCUUCUGAUCCUUUAGAGCCUCCUCUUUGUAGCCCUCGCACUCCCAAGGAUGGUGUUUUUGAUCCCUUUUCCCCUGGCCCUGCUCAUUUGGCUUUAGCUCCUCUCUGUAGAAAGUGUUUUAGUGGCUCUGUUGGAUUUGUUGCUCGUCGCCUUCAGUUUGAUUCUUCUUCUUCUGCUUCUUCUUCUUCUUCAUUGCAGUUCGUGGAAUCUGAAGAAGAACAAACCAUUACUGAUAGUGAGCUCUUGGAGGCUGUUUAUGAAAAUCUCUUGGAACUGAUUAUCUCCCAUCAGGCUGAAUCUUCUCUUGCUAUGAUCACAAGCUCUCAUACUGAUUCUCUUGAUUGUAAUACCCCUCCUGCUUCAUUCAUAACUGGGAUUGCUCAAACUUGUCCCGCUGCGCCUGUUAAGCCCUCGAGAAAAUCGCGCAAUUUGGACUUGGGUUUGUGCCGAAAGCUCGAGUUCUGAAUCUUGGUGCUCUUCUGGUUGACUGCUGAUGAUUAUUGCAUUGAAGAAUGUAGGUCCUCCAGAAAUGGAUUGAUGCAAACAAGAUGAAGAAAGUGAUGAUGCUUACAUUAACAAUGAUGGGGCACUGAUACGAGAAGUGUUAAGCAAAGAACUAAGAAGAGGGAUUGGUGGCAGUCGGAUUCUCUUUCCUAGGCGUUCAUAGGCGUUGCUCGCUUCUCUCGUGCAGACAGAAAGUAGCAAUGGUCAGCAAUGGGUAUAGUUAUGGCCUUGAAAGUUCGUUAACUUUUGAGAUUUGAUAGUUCUAAGUUACUUUUCAUUGGAGGUUACUUGUUUAUCUAGCUGAGUUAAAUGUUGACUUCGAAAUAAACUACUCGAGGUUGGCUUAGUUUAGUAGUCGUUAUAGCGAGGGGAUGAAGUAAAGACUUUGUGGGAAUGGAUUCGAAUUUAUUGGUGAUCAUCUGCCUAGAACUUAGAACUCGAGUUAUCGACCGAAAAAGUCCUAUGAGUUUUAUGACAA